AACCCAUGGUGAGGGCAUCUUCUCAAUAAAAAUUUAUACCUCUCCCUUACAUCAUAUAAGGUCUCUAAGUCGAUCUGUAAGAAAGAAGAGAUAUCAUUCGUCAACUU
rfam:Gossypium raimondii chromosome 1, whole genome shotgun sequence.